UACGAAGGGGGCUAGCGUUGCUCGGAAUCACUGGGCGUAAAGGGUGCGUAGGCGGGUCUUUAAGUCAGGGGUGAAAUCCCGGAGCUCAACUCCGGAACUGCCUUUGAUACUGGCGAUCUUGAGUCCGGGAGAGGUGAGUGGAACUGCGAGUGUAGAGGUGAAAUUCGUAGAUAUUCGCAAGAACACCAGUGGCGAAGGCGGCUCACUGGCCCGGUACUGACGCUGAGGUGCGAAAGCGUGGGGAGCAAAUAGG
rnacentral:rRNA from 1 species